rnacentral:rRNA from 1 species
UACGGAGGGUGCGAGCGUUGUCCGGAAUCACUGGGCGUAAAGGGCGCGUAGGCGGCCCGGCAAGUCAGUGGUGAAAGCCCGAGGCUCAACUUCGGGUCGGCCACUGAUACUGCUAGGCUUGAGUCGACUAGAGGCAGAUGGAAUUCCGGGUGUAGCGGUGGAAUGCGUAGAGAUCCGGAAGAACACCGGUGGCGAAGGCGGUCUGCUGGGCAGUAGCUGACACUGAGGCGCGACAGCGUGGGGGAGCAAACAGG